UAAUAAAAUGCAGUCUAGUUUUAAUCUUAACUACAGGAUGUUUUAUCCUACUGAGUGGUAGAAGUACGGAAAGAUGCCUUUGUUUAAGGCGGCGUUUUCAAGGUGAAGGAGGACUCGGGCUGAGAAAGAAGCCAGCAGCGCGCUACAGGAUAGUCUCGGCAACAUGUCCAGCUCUCAGGCAUCUGACCAGUCGACCAAUCUGGUUUAAAGAUUGAUGGCCCCCGCGGCCAAUGGAACACAUUCCUGCUCCACGAACAACAAAUUAUCUUCAAAUGAAAACUCGACAACCUUAGCCCCAAUGUUUUCUCUAGAAACACAGAGAUUCCAGUGACCCGAGGAAUACUUUGUUUUCCCAUACGCAGCAGACUGGCAUUAAGGUUGUGUCUGGAUUAGCCGGGGCCAAAAUGUGUCCUCCCUGCUCUCCUACAGACGUGCUGCAACCUGGUUCUGAUGGAGAUUUGGGGGUUUCUCUGUAUUAUUGUAGGGUCUUAGAAGACGGGACCGUGUUACGAACAAAGACAUACAGAAGCGACUAGGUGUAGCCCCAAUUAAGGAAAAGAUGCUCGAGUCCCGCCUGAGGUGGUAUGGACACGUGAUUCGAAGCGAUGAGAACUCUGUAGCAAAAACGGCAAUGAUGAUCGACCCAGAAGGAUGCCAGCCCCGAGGCAGACCGAAGAAACGGUGGAUGGACAAAAUAAAGGAGGACAUUAAGACCAUCAACACAUCACCUGAGGACGCCUUGGACAGAACCAAAUAGAGAAACCUUUGCCGAAGAGCAGACCCUGCACAGCGGGAACAACGCCAGGAUGAUGAAGAAGAAGAUUGUAGGGUCUUUUCAAUAAAAGCAACUCAAGGCAACUUAAAACUGUAUCAAUAAAACUGAAGUGAAUGUGUGCAUGAACAGCUGAAUGUGUAAUUGGGCCAUAGGUUUUUAAGACUAAAAAAAUUAAUUUACCAUUCGUGCUCUUGAACGAGUGUAGAGUAUGCACAGUCACCAUAAAAUCCUCAGUGGAGAAAAAAAUGUAAAUGUGUGCUUUAAAACAAAACAAGAAGUCAAAAGAGAUAAAAAAAAUAAAUAAAAAAAACAAGCUGUGGAUGUUUUAGUGUUACACAUAAUUUGAUUUAAAGAUUAUAUAAAAAUAUUAAUGAGGGCAACUUCGCUACUGACAUAUCUCACUCUUAUAAGACCAGAUAUUCAAAGUAACAUAAAUGGUUCAAUGUAUUGUUACUUAUUUGUAAGUUGUUCAGAUAUAAUUAAUGUAUCUGCUGUUCCUGUGGAAAUGUGGAUUUCUAUGAACACUUCUGAGAUGUUUAUGCUGAAGCAGAUGUGAAGAAGAGGACAGAGGGAGAGGUAGUGAUAUACAGACACAGUCACACGCACACACAGAUGUUGGCGUGCUAUCAGCUUUAGCAGGCUGUGCGAAGUAAGUUAUGUUCUGGCUGUUGCAGACAAUUCUUCAAAGAUACUAUCUCUGUCUCUGAGCGGACGGCUGAGGGAACGACUUCCAAAUCAGUAUGUAUGUAUAUUUUCAGCAUUGAAUAGAAGAGCAACAAAUCACUGCUCUCUCCUUAAUAUCCAGCCAAAUCCACCGACACAAUCUGAAGCUGUAGACAUGAGUUAAUAUACAUCUGAAAAUAGAUCCAAAUAUCUGACCCACUUGAGAUGGCUUUGAUUUAACUCACCAGACACUAAAAUUUGUCUGAUGCUAAAACAGACUGAAAAGAACUGCUCAUUAAUCAGGCUCAUUAAAGUUUUUUGGCCAUUGCUGCACUUUUAGGUGAAAUUGAGGGAAUACUGCAGGUAGUCUGUGACCUUUACGCAGGUCACGUUCAGAGGAAAUGCAGGAACUGGCAUGGAGAAAAAUACAAAAACAGCCGUUUUAUAAACACACAAAACCAGAACUGACUCAUGUCUGAUAAGGCGAGUCUACGGGUAAAACAACUUCUAUGAAAAAGAUAAAUAAACAGACUGAUAUCAACCCCUGUAUGCCUUCAG